AUUGAACGCUGGCGGCAGGCCUCACACAUGCACGUCGAACGAGCGGCGGACGGGUGCGUAAUGUCUGGGAAACUGCCUGAUGGAGGGGGAUAACUACUGGAAACGGUAGCUAAUACCGCAUACCAUCAGAUGUGCCCCGAUGGGAUUAGCUCGUGGGUGGGGUAAUGGCUCACCUAGGCGACGAUCCCUAGCUGGUCUGAGAGGAUGACCAGCAACACUGGAACUGAGACACGGUCCAGACUCCUACGGGAGGCAGCAGUGGGGAAGAUUGCACAAUGGGCGCAAGCCUGAUGCAGCCAUGCCGCGUGUGUGAAGAAGGCUUUCGGGUGGUGAAGCACUUUCAGAGGGGAGGCGUGACCCGCAGAAGAAGAACAGGCUAACGCCGUGCCAGCAGCCGCGGUAAUUC
rnacentral:rRNA from 1 species